rnacentral:rRNA from 2 species
GAUGAACGCUAGCUACAGGCUUAACACAUGCAAGUCGAGGGGCAGCGGGUUGAAAGCUUGCUUUCAAUGCCGGCGACCGGCGCACGGGUGCGUAACGCGUAUCAAACCUGCCUCAUACUCGGGGAUAGCCUUGCGAAAGUAAGAUUAAUACCCGAUGUUGUUGCUUUCUCGCAUGGGAGAGUAACCAAAGAUUUAUCGGUAUGAGAUGGUGAUGCGUCCGAUUAGGUAGUAGGCGGGGUAACGGCCCACCUAGCCUUCGAUCGGUAGGGGUUCUGAGAGGAAGGUCCCCCACACUGGAACUGAGACACGGUCCAGACUCCUACGGGAGGCAGCAGUGAGGAAUAUUGGUCAAUGGGCGAGAGCCUGAACCAGCCAAGUAGCGUGCAGGAUGACGGCCCUCCGGGUUGUAAACUGCUUUUAGUUGGGAAUAAAAAAAGGGACUUGUCCCUUCUUGUAUGUACCUUCAGAAAAAGGACCGGCUAAUUCCGUGCCAGCAGCCGCGGUAAUACGGAAGGUCCAGGCGUUAUCCGGAUUUAUUGGGUUUAAAGGGAGCGUAGGCGGAUUGUUAAGUCAGCGGUUAAAGGGUGUGGCUCAACCAUGCAUUGCCGUUGAAACUGGCGAUCUUGAGUGCAGACAGGGAUGCCGGAAUUCGUGGUGUAGCGGUGAAAUGCUUAGAUAUCACGAAGAACUCCGAUCGCGAAGGCAGGUGUCCGGGCUGCAACUGACGCUGAGGCUCGAAAGUGUGGGUAUCAAACAGG